GGCAAAAACACGUUCACUUCUCAGUCUGAGGCAUUCACCAACCACGUGAAUGAGAUCGCUAAGCAUUAGACGACGCCGGAUCAUCAUUUGUGUAAAUAUAUAUGUAAAGCUAUGGGUCCCUCUCCCUCCACUAUUGAAAAUGAUAGGUUUGUUGUAGUUGUCGGUCUGUGGUUCAUUGGUUUAUCUUUAGUAAUAUUCCACACUACCCGAAAUAAUUAGUUUCAAAACACUUGAUAUCAUUGUUGAACAUUUACGCUUGGUUUGAUUUAGGAGAUUGGACGUGGUGACAAAAAUAGAUCAUCCAUUUACACUGAAAAUAGG
rnacentral:misc_RNA from 1 species